rnacentral:misc_RNA from 1 species
GAAGAGAUGAAAGAAGAGGUGGCAGCAACUAGGUUUUGUGAGAGUAAAAAUAUCAAGUAUGAUUUGAACAGUUAAGAUUAUCUGAAAUAAACAGCUAGAAUUAGUCAAAAUUGUAAAAAAAGACAGAUUAACAAAUGUGCCUGCAAGUCCUUGUUAUAACAUUUCAACUACUAGGUGACAAAAUGUGUUGGUGGUGGGCAUCGAACUUAGGACCUGCAAGUCCUUGUUAUAACCUACCAACCAUUAGGCUAUAAAAAGUCUAGAUGUUAUACGGAUUUGUCACUUUAAUUUAUUUCGGUUCAGUUUUUCCGAAAAUUUUUCUUAAAAAAC